rnacentral:misc_RNA from 1 species
AACCAUUCUCACCUGCGGCUAGACCUGCGGAGGGAUCAUUACACAAUAAACAUAUGAAGGCUGCACCGCCAACAGGCGGCAAGGCUGGAGUAUUUUAUUACCCUUGUCUUUUGCGCACUUGUUGUUUCCUGGGCGGGUUCGCCCGCCUCCAGGACCACAUGAUAAACCUUUUUUAUGCAGUUGCAAUCAGCGUCAGUACAACAAAUGUAAAUCAUUUACAACUUUUAACAACGGAUCUCA